rnacentral:ncRNA from 2 species
ACAACCGCUGCGGGAGAGCACUCGCCGAAACCGGGCGGGUCGCCGAAGGAGCAACUUCUCCCUCAGAAUCUCUCAGGCCCACGUACCGCAACGGUCAG